rnacentral:rRNA from 1 species
UACGUAGGGGGCUAGCGUUGUCCGGAAUCAUUGGGCGUAAAGCGCGUGUAGGCGGUCCGGUAAGUCCGCUGUGAAAGUCGGGGGCUCAACCCUCGGAUGCCGGUGGAUACUGUCGGGCUUGAGUACGGAAGAGGCGAGUGGAAUUCCUGGUGUAGCGGUGAAAUGCGCAGAUAUCAGGAGGAACACCGACGGCGAAGGCGGCUCACUGGCCCGGUACUGACGCUGAGGUGCGAAAGCGUGGGGAGCAAACAGG